rnacentral:rRNA from 1 species
GACGAACGCUGGCGGCGUGCUUAACACAUGCAAGUCGAACGGAAAGGCCCUGCUUUUGUGGGGUGCUCGAGUGGCGAACGGAUGAGUAACACGUGAGUCACCUGCCCUUGGCUUUGGGCUAACUACAGGAAACUGGUGCUAAUACCUGAUCGCUGCUCCCGCGGGUUGGUGGGGGUUGGAAAUCUUCCGCGGUUGGGGAUGGACUCCCGGCUUAUUAGCUUGUUGGUGGGGUAGUGGCUUACCAAGGCUUUGACGGGUAGCCGGCCUGAGAGGGUGACCGGCCACAUUGGGACUGAGAUACGGCCCAGACUCCUACGGGAGGCAGCAGUGGGGAAUAUUGCACAAUGGGCGGAAGCCUGAUGCAGCAACGCCGCGUGCGGGAUGACGGCCUUCGGGUUGUAAACCGCUUUCGCCUGUGACGAAGCGUGAGUGACGGUAAUGGGUAAAGAAGCACCGGCUAACUACGUG